GCUCUUUCCCUCCCCGUCUGUCCCACUGAUGAGGCAAGAAAAGGAUGACAAAGCAGAAAGCGAGGGAAGAUGCAGGGUGAACGUUUCCGCCGGGAUGUUUAAUGAUGAGAAAGGAAAGAAAGCACCAAAAGAAGUUCCUGACGGAAAAUUCCUCGCAGCUUUCAUGUCACAGCCCCUGACCUUCAGCUGCCCAUAAACGCCCUGCAGCCACCCCCAGCACGUUCCCAGCAGCCCGGUGGGGCUCUGCAUUGAGCCACCCUUCCACCAGCAAAGCUCAGACUGGGAAUUCAAACCCCAAAUCCGGCUGUGGGGUGCCAGCAGCCAAACACAGCCUGGUUCAGCACCCCGUGCUCUGGUACCCCAAGGGGCCAUCAUUCACCACCACAUGUGAUGUGUGGUGUGGGCACACACCUUCAGAAACCCUCAAAACCAAAUAAGAUAUCACUGUCGAUAGGAGUUCUGUGAAUAGAGAUGAGGUAUAAAAUCGAAACAAGUAUUUCCUUAUGGUCUUUUUUGUUUAUUUACUUGGGGAAAUAACCAUGCACGGAGCUGGCAUUAAGGACUGGCUUUUCAGGCACAUUUUUAGCUAACAGAAUAAAGGGAUUUAUUUCUGCAGUGAAGAAACAGAGGAAUAACUUGUAAAGGCACUGUAAUUCCAUCCAUUUGGAGCUGACUGUAGCUCUGAAGCAGCCGCAGAUAACUUAAGAUGUUGCAAGUUCAGAAGGGAUUUUUAUCUCUCUGUUUGGAGAAGCAUCGCCUUGACUUCAUCGGCACAAUCUCAGUGUGAGGCUGUAGUUUAAAUAACAGGAAGGAAGAGCGGCUGCCCCGGGUCCAAGUUUGCCCCAGGAUUUGGGAUAAAGGCCGGGCUGCCAAGCAGGGGGUCCCAAACCCCAUAGCAGCCCCAUCCCACGUGCUCUGGGGCUAUGGAGGGAUGCGGGGGACGGUUGGAUCAGAACAUCGCUGCCAUCCAGGGGAUCUGGGCAUGAAGUGUACAGGGAAGCCCUGAUGGAAGAAAACAGAGCAAUGCCAUGCUGAGCUUCCCAGAGCAGAGCAGGGUGAGCAGGUCCUGGCCCUGUGCUGCAGCCCCACUCAGACCAGUCUAUGUCUCGGUCGCUGUCUGCUCCCUGUGCCAGCUGUUAACCAGCACCACUUGCUCGGCCUGAGCUGACCCAGCCAAUACCUGGAAUUAAUGAAACAAAAAGGCCAUGAAGCAAGGAGCUGUUGUUACCUAAUGUGUCUCAUCCCCUGAGCAACGUGUCCAUCAGCACGGUGCUGCGCAUCAGGAGGGGAAGGCGAUUUGGGUGCCUCGCUGUGUGCUCAGCAGCUCGGAUCCCCUCUGCUGCUUCACCUUUCUAACCUGCAUCUCUUCUGCUGUUUUUAUAGAAACAGCCUCAAUUAUUCCCACCCUGUUCUAGCAGGCCUAGGGCCAAGCUGCUUAGCUGCAGGUUUUCCUGCUCGUGAACAGCAAGCAACACCUAUCCACGCAAUGCAGAAGAAGCAUCCCAGUGGGUUUGCAUUUGCACUUUGCUAAAGACAGUGCUUUUGGGGCUGAAUUUCACCCAGGAGAGGCAGCAGGAGACUCUGCAGUGCUCAGCACCGGGCAGGAUCGGGGCUGCACAUCACUCUGCCACUCAGCCCUGGGAUCCCAUCUGUGGGAUAGCAUAGGGCCGGUGACACGGGACUUAUGGAGCUGUGUGUUUCAACAUACAUUUUCCAAAAGCUAUUUCAUACGUUCCAUCACGCCGAGUAAUGCGCUGGAAACCAUCCAGGCUUGGGGAUGUUUCUGUAAACGCAUCAUCUCUGCCCUUCCACUGCUUUUGCUGUGAGCAGAGGGGACCCGGUGCUCCCCCCUCCUGCUGUGGGAGCUGGGGAUGCUGCGAGGACCUCUCUGCUCCUUUGCAGUGCAGCCCUUCGUUUUCACUCUGCUUUCACAGCAGCGUUUCAUAUGGUCUGUGUCUUGAUUUCCUAGAAGCAUCCCUGCACUUCUCUGGCUAUGAAAACACCCCCACGAUGUCCUGCACGUACAGACUCAUAUAUGCAGCACACACACCCACUAGAUGGCUGUUUUCUAGCUCUUUAUUUGAUUGAAUUGUUACCAGAGGGAGGUGACAUUUUCUCACAAAGCUUUUUCUACUGCAAAAUUCAGGCUUAAAGACACCAGACUGCUCAUAAAGUGUGUAUCAAACCCGCCUAUUUCAUCAGGUAGAGAAAGCAAAACAUUAGGAGAUAUUCUGGAAUAGCUGGAGAUACACCUAUAGAACCAGCAAAUGGAUAUAUGGGAUGGGUUGAAAAUGCCAGAACUGUUAGGUUGGGAUCUGUUUCUAAAGAAGAAAAAAGAGAGUAAAUCUUGGAAUGAAACCUGGAUGCUUUGUUCAAAGCCAGGCAGAUGUGUUCCAUCUGGGUAGGAGGAGGUAUUCAAAACAAGGCCUGAUUGUUUUCCAGCAGUUUCUAAAUUGCCAAAAAAAGCCAAAUCAGCAUUGGUUCUUACAGUCUGAUAUUCAAAUCCACCCUUAUUGUGCCUAAAACACAAAGUGGCCAUUGCUUGGCACUGGAGGGGCAUGCAGAGAUGUUUUAUAUAGUACAGCGAGCACAGAAUGGCACAUUGCCCUUCAGGGUCUGUUUCAUUAGAGCCAGAAGGAAAGGACAGUAAGUGAGGGUCGUGUUCCUAUUUGAAUCUAACAUUCCACCAAUGUCUUUGAUUGCAUCCAAGCAGAGGUGGGCAUUCUGCUGCGUUUUACUCUCCUGCUGUAAACAUGAAAUAUUACUUUUAAUAGAUCUUUUCCCCUCAGAAAAAGAGGCUGAACACGUGUAAUUAGAGCAACAGGCACGUGUCUGCGUUCAGGGAGACAUCCCCAUAAAGGCAGUUGGCAUUUGAGCAGUCUCGAGUUAAAUCUGAAGGCUGGAUCUAUCCAUCUCCUAUUUUAUCAUGAAUGCUAAUUGGAGUCUGAGGGCCCUUUGAUGGAAGCAACACGGCAAACACAGCGUGUACCACUUCCUCCAAUUUCCAGAAAGCAAUAGGCACGUGAAGUGGACGUUGGGUUUAAUUUAUACUGUGAGAAUCCCUCGCUGCACAAUGCCUCCGUUUCCAGAUAUUAUUAACAGAGCCGGAGCGUCCUUCCAUGUGUGCUGGUGGAAAGGAACGAUAAAUCAAGCAUGCUUCUGGGACGAUUGCAAAACCUCCGUGCAACUUGACUCACAGUCUAAAAAUGUGCUUGUGGAAUGGUUGUGGUUGCAUCACGUAGGUGCUGCAAAGCAAACACCGAUUUGGAGAACCUCCUCUCCCCAUCCUCACUUCCUUGCAGCACGUGGCCAUACGUUUUCUGCCCUCUCCAGGAGCUGCUGGAUACUGAAAGAGCAUCCCUGGGAUCGAUGGUCCUCUCCUUUCUGCUACCACAGCAGCAAGAAGGGAACUCGAACUGGGAUCAAAGAGGUUUGGUUCGGCUCCUGAGAAGAGAAUGAAGAAGGGAAGGGACAGGAGGAGCACAUCUGGAGGCUGGUGCAUGGCUGCGUGGCCUUCCCCUCCAGCGAGCAGCGUUUGGAGAGGAAAUUGCCUUGUGGAUAGCUGAUAUGGGUGUUUGCUCAGGGGGAGCGGUGCGCCCGGGCAGGGAAAGGAAAUUCCUGGAUGCCAAGUCAAAUAUAGGGAAAAGAAAGCAGAUUCUGCAAGAAUAACUAUAUGCUGGAGAGAGAAGUUGAGCAGCCAGUCGGUGGCCGGGCACUGGGUUUGGGCAUGUGGGUGAUGGUCCAAGGGUUGGCAUGCAGCACAUCCCAGUACACCAAUAUCCCAGAAUCCCCACAUCCCCAAUAACCCAACAUCCCAGCACCCCAACAUCCCAGCAUCCCAAUAUGCCAGCACUGCAGCAUUCCAGAGUCCCACUGCAGCCCUUGGGCUCCGCUCGCUGCCCAGCACUGCACUCGGGAACGCAGGCAUGGCCAUUCCAUGUGGCUGGCUCCAUUCUUUUCUGGUUUUUUCCAUUUUAGGAGCUAUCCUGCACCAGCUUCUUUAUCAGUAGUAAAGAAGAAAAAGAAAGGAAAAAGGCACAAAGUAAAAAAAAGCAAAGCAAAACAUAACCACAGCGUUUUCCGUGACCCUUCUCUGGCCUCUGCUUACACAAAAAAAUCCUGGCAUCCAUAAUGAUCAGGCCUUUGAUUGAACGACAUUUUAAUUCGGGAUAUAUUAAAACAGCAUGUUUUCAAAUGAGCGGUCCCAGAGCAGAAGGGGAAGAGCAGGCUCCCCAGAACCUCUCCAGCUUCAGAGUCACAAGCUGUGCCCCAGAUGCCAUCACGGCAGCUUUGAUAGGCAGGCCCCUUGAUUUAAAAUAGGGCAGGGGGGGGGGUUGGCUAAUUGAAACCAUUGUGUUAUGAUAACCAAAUGUCUUCUGCCUUUUGCAUCUCCCAUAGAUGGCAAUGCAUAUUGAAAAAGACAUAAUAAUGCCACGUCCGUUUUCAGGGAGAGAUCAAAGGCUCUCCUGGAAAGAGGAGCCCAGUUGUCCCCCCCAAUGCAUCUGGGCUGCAGACAGCCAGUGGUAAAGGCGACUUCAUUCAUCCGCGGGGCAGAGGAAUGCUGUCUGGGUGCUUUGAAAAGUGCAAGGGCUGGUGGAGGGAGGAAAAAGCUCUGUGUAUGGGAACAGGGUGGAUUUAUGGCCCUCAUGCUGCAAUGGGGUCCUGUGGCUUCACUGUGCAUUUUGGCACAGCUGGCGCUGCAUUACCCAGGAGGCUGAGAGUGGGCUGCAAUGGGAGCAGCAAUCACCCAAAGCAGAGUCAGUGGCACAGAACGACCAAACCCAGGGUGAGCAGCAUCCUUAGUUGCUGCCUGCAGAACGGUAGCCCCGAGCUUCCAAUACGCUCCAUGAAAGCAUCCUCAUGGGGGUUCAUUCUAUCACCCCGUCCACGGUUUCUGGGCAGCUCUGCCCUAUUUGGCUCCAGCUUGAAUUUGGACCAGAGCAGGUGGAUGGAGUGAAGCUGCCCCUGCAGCUGUGGGCAUCCUGCCUUGGUGCAUCAGGAUCAUUGUAGCAAAACGUGCACCUCAUGGGCUGCCCUGAUGUGUUGCUCUGCAGAACAUCUGCAGCUGCCAGCAGGGCUCAGGGUGCCUCCCAGGAUGUCAGGAUGCUGCUCCUGGAGGUACUGUGGAGGAAAAAGGGGCAGGUUUGGCUGAUUUUAGAAGGCAUCUAAUUGCACCAGAUGGUACGGGCAUGUUUAAUUCACCCUCCAGAGAGGCUGACCUGUGAGCCACCUAACGUGGCUUUAUUGCUUUUCCCUGCAUACCCAGCAAAUCUCUGAGUGCAAGAACUCUGCUUUGUUUGCAUGUACAAUGAGACACUGGGAAACACCUGCCCAUCGCUCAGCAGACGCUCAGCCCGCUUGCAAAUACAUUUUAAGCCAUAAUUAAAAUGACAUGCCAUCUUCUCCUCGUACUACACAAGCAGAAGUAUGGCGUAUGGCCUCCAGAAAUCCAGAAUAACUCAAAGCAGAACUGGUUUGUAUGCUUAAUCAGACUGUGUGCUGAAUGCAGAACAUAACAACAACAAAAAAAACCAAUUAAAAAAAACCCAAACAACCCCAAACCUUUAUUAAAUGCACAGCACUGAGUGGGGACUUCUGCUCAACGUUGAUUGAGACAUUGGAAAAUUCAGCCCUCGUGUUUCAUCAGCUGCACUGAAAUACUUCGGUGCAGAUGGACAGAGCCCAGAUGGCAACCUCGGCUGCGGAGCAUCUCUGCCCCAACCAUAUGCUGCUCAGAAGGGGAAGGGAUGCAGGGUUUGCUUCGUAGCUUUGGGACUCGCUGGUGCCACGUGGAGCUCAGAGCUGCUCAUUUCCACCCAACCCGCGCUAUGGUGACACGGUGGGGACGUGGCACUGCUGUCCUGCAGUGGGAAAAAGGCAUGGCAGGGAGCCAGGGAUGCACACACUGCGGCUUUGUGGGGCCACUGAUUGAGGCAGAUAGCGAUGUAAUCGGGCCAACACACACUGUCAGGGGGAGGGCUGUUUGGUACUGCGGGUUGAGCACUUUCUGCAAGAACAGGAGGGCUUUCUUUUUGAGAACACGAGAGCUGAGCAAACACCUCCAGCAGAAGUCUGUAUAAGUUUGAAUCUUGUCUCAUCCCUGAGAUGCUGCUGUUUGCAUGCAUGAAUUGGCCUUCUUUCUUCCUUCCACAGCCUCGUGAGACAUUCCGUGGAAGGUGGCAAGCAUUGGAUGAGUAACAUUUCCCCAUAGUGCAUUAAUCAACGCCUGCUUGGCCAAGCAGCAGUCAGUGUGAGAGGAGGACGAGUUGGGCUCCCAGGCACACGGGGAACUGCUGAGACUCAGAUUGCACACAGCAGCACCACAGCGACAAAGCUGCCUUGGUUCAGCACCCAGGGGCACUGCCACAAUCCCAGCUCAGAGAUGGGAUGGGAGGUAUGGUGUGCAACUCGUUGCUGGUUCCAUGAGAGCUUCUCCAUGGCGCUCACACAGGGACAUAAAAUGUGAGGGGUGGCCUCUGUCCUCCUGGCACCGUGGUUCCCUGAGUGCAGCUCCCUUCCUUGAGCAGGAUCAGAGCAGGGCUUCGGAGGAUCCUACGCAGAGAGCAUCCUCCAAGGACGUGUUUUCAAAGGCUCUCCAUCUCCCAAAGGCUGAAUAAUCUCAAGAAAGGGCCCAGGAAGAAGUGAAAUCCUCUCCAGAACGGUCAUUUGCAAGAGUGUGUUUCCAUAACCUUGCAUUGUUACAGCAUCACAAGGAUUUGUCUCCUCUUCUGGCUCCAGCACACAUGUUCCUGGCUCCCAUGGAGGCACUGUGGACAGCCCAUGCCAUACAACGUGCCAGAAACAUGACCUCCCCAUGAACUUUGGGCCAUAUUUUCAAGUCUGCGCCCAGCUCCUUGCAGGCAGGGCUGUCUGGCCAGUGCAUUCUGGCCCUUUUGCAUGGAAAAUGAGCUGUGUCAGCCUUCGUGGCCCACUGGCUUGCCAGCUGCGUCCCUAACAGCACUUUGCAGCCUCCUCCCUCCGUGCUCAACAUGUUGCCUUCACCUGGCACAUGGGACAGCAACGAGGGGACUGUGAGCUUGUCCUCGGUGGCUGGGGCCCAGCUGGCCACCCCCAUCUCCCCACUGCAGCCACCGCACGCUCCUCGAUGCAGCAGAACUCAAUGUACAGCCCUUUUAUUUUUCCUCCUUGGUUUUCCUGUUUCCAGAACAGUUGAAUAUUUUACUUGCAUCGUGCCCCAGUUCCCCAGUUUCCAGCAGGCAGAACAGGGCGAUCUGUACCCACCUCUUGCAGCAGCUGGUGCUUGUUCCCCUGGCAAAACUUCACUUUGGAGCUGAACCCAACAAUGCUGCUGACUCCAACUGAUUCUUUCUCCCCCAGCCUAAGGCACUUUAUGAUGAUAUUAAUAACCAGACACUGAGGUUCAGCACUAAGGAUUUCUUAAGCUUGCUGCUGGGGCUGUGAUUGAGCUUUGUAGCCAUCUCUGCUUCAUCCCAUGAUCCAUCAGGGUUGGUGGGGACACCCAGACCUCUUUUGGGAAGUCCCUCCACAGCUCCUCUCUCCCAUAGCACCCAUGGGGUCAGGGGCAGACUGGGUGCUCCCAGACCUCUUUCCUGUUCUGCCCUUAAUACACCAAAGGGAGAUCUCUUGUUCGAUGGUUCUCUAUUAACCCUAUUCAUGAGUCUUUUAAUUAGUGUUGCCUUCUGCUAAGUAAUCGCUUCAGCAUUAGCUCCUCUGGGGCAAUGCAGAGCUGCAACAGGGCACUGCAGGAGUUGCAUGCUGCUGUUCUGCCUUCUGGACCUGCUCCUGCUGGCAACUAUGCCAUUCCUUUUGCACAGACCGCACAGUGCCAGAGCAGCCCACUAAAACUUGCAAAGAAAAGCAGAAAGAAGCAUCUGAAACCCCACCAGGAGCUGCGGCAGGUAGAGUUCUACCCUUACAUCUGGGAAACCUCCAGCUCAGCUCAAUCCUGCUGAUGCACUGCUAAGGGGAGCUUUGUAGUGGCCCUAUUCAAAGCACUCAGCUCUGGGGGCAUGUUUCCCCCAGCACCCAGGAGCAAUGUUUCCUUUGUCAAUUCAGGGUCCCCACCAAUCUGCAUCACCCCAUGCCUGGAGGCAGAGCUGCCAUGGCUGCCUUUUAUCCCCUGCAUCCUCCGGCAGAGCUCACAAAGUGGUACUUUGUACCAGAGCAAGAAACAAGAGACGUGAGCUGUAAUACAGGAGAGAGAGAAAAAAAAACCCUCAUCUCACCCCUUGUGUUUUUCCUGGAAAUGUCACUGCCCUUAAUGCAUCAAAUAAUUAGAAUCACUUCUCCCCUUUUGUUUGCCUUGGCCCUCACUGCUCGCAUUGAGUGGGCCAACAUAAACCUGUGCGCACCACAGGAAUUUUGGGCACAGCCCAUUCUGCAGUGCUGGGUGCAGGGGGAGAAGUGGCUGCAGGAGCUUUGGUUCUGCUCCAUAUGUCUCUGCUGCUGUGGGCACUGCUGGGCACGGAGCUCCCAUAGAGAGGACCUCACUGCAACGCUAGCGCUCAACCAAGUGCUGGUCCCUAUGGAAAUCCACUGUCCUGGAGAGAAGCAGCAGCAGCUGAUGCCCAUUUAAUGCCAAAAUUGCAGAUUUGUGUUUGACCUGAGUGGUGGGUGUGAGCGUGAUGCUGGCAGGACAGAUGGGUGGAUAGCUCUCUGAAGUCCCAGUGGGAUGUUACGCUUGUUGCUCUGUAGUUGUAGCCUUCUCCUCUGGGUGCUGGGGAGUGCUCCGAGGUGACGUGGGAGAACAUAUCCCUUGUGAAUGCUGGAAAGCUGUGCUGGGUGAGGUGGCAUUGCACCACUAAUCCACGCACAGAGGAGCCCAGCACCCCCUCAGCACCCCUUACAGACACAGAUGGACACAGCCAGCAUCACAGCCCAGCUGGCUGCCUGCCCCCAGUACCGCUCCCAUGGGCUGCAUGUAUGUCAAUGGGUUAUUAAAGAAACGGAUGGGGGAUUAGCUGUGCUGUAGGUAGAGACCCCAUUCAGAUUUGCUAAGUUUCAGCAAGUAUGUUUUCAAUAAUUGGCUGGUAUUUGUAAGAAAUGAAUAAAACCUAGGCUACUAAAGCUGGUCCUUCUCUUAUUAUAAGGCAUUUAUUGCAUGCUUAGAAGCAUAUGUCUUCAAUAUCUGAAGCAAAGGAAAGUAAUAUAUAAGGAUCCCUUCUUAAACACAAAUAUAUGCAGCCAUAAUCACAAUUAUUAGCCACCAUGAAAUAGCUAACAAACUGAAGAAGCCCCCUCAGCAGCAGCUUUACAACUGGGGGUGCAUAAGAAAUAAAGACAAAGGAGAGAAUUGCCCUCUUAGCUGUGCGAGACUCCACAAGGCAGAGGAAGGAUCAGCUCUGCUGAGGAGUGUUGGCAUCUCGGAGAAGGUUCACGGAUGAAGCCAAUGGAGAAGGGUGUGCAGGAGCGGGGCAGGGAAUUGGGAAGCAGCGCUGCUGCUGGUGGUUGUAUCCUUCUGAAGAAAGAACACUGGAAAACUAAAGCUACCUGUCACUGCUGCUGUUAUCACAGAGGUAUUUGGGAGAGGGUGAGCGAAUGUUUCUGCAGGACUGCGUGCUGAUUUAUUGGUACGGAGGGAGGUGCAGCGGGGAAACCACUGUGCGGAUCGUUGGCGAGGAGGGGCACGUGGUUCUCCAAAGAUUUUUGUCUGAAAACGCAAUCAGCUGAAGUCAGCGCCGCGCCGAGGGUCUGAGCAGAGCUCAGUGCUGCUCAAGGAGGCACUUUCAUGUAAGAGGGAAGAAAUGGGCCCUGGCUCUGUGUAUAUCCCUGUUGGUCUUCUGAACACUUCGCGUUGCGUCUUCCUCCUCACUGCACCGCCCUGAAGCACAUACAGAAAAUGAUUGCUGAAAACGGGGUGUCCGCGAGUCACAAUGAGUGCAAUUAAACCAUGGAACGGAUUCCCCAGGGAUCUCACGCAUCCUUGGCUGCUUGGAGGAGCCUCAGGGCGGGCUGCAGCAGCUCCUUCCCUUUGGUGGAGCAGCGCUGUUCCUCCUGGGAUUUGCUCCAAAUGGACAGCUCUGCUCUGCUCCAGCUGCUCGGUGGGUUUCUCUCCAGCACGUUGCUGGUUUGCACAUCGUUUCAAGCCUGCAGCUGUUAUCGGGCUGUUGGUUUGAGCGUUGUUCACUUCCAAUCCCUGCCUCAUUGCAGGGGGAGACCAUCCCUGGAGAUCCUCCCCUCUCCCAUCUCCAGGGCACCGAUCCUCAGCCACUCUGAGCGCAAUGCAGACACCACACAGCUCAGCAGGUUUCAGUGCCUCUGCCACCAACUGCGACUCAAAUCCAAAGCGAUUUGGCUUUGUUUUGUUUCUAAGUUGCUGCUCGAGCUUUCUUGGCUCACAGGCAGAUUUUCUCUUCCAAGGUUUCAGUGGUGGAGGGCUGUUUCUCUAAUCCCCAAUAGUUUGAGAUUAUCUCCAGCCAACAAUUAAUCAGAAUCAGAAUUUUGCACUGCUUGCCUGUGCUGCUGCAUUGAGUGCAUGUAAAACCCUCUUUCCUCUGAAGAAAAGCAUGUUCUACUUUCCUAUGUUGCCUCCGGUCUCUUUAGCUGUCAGGGCACUCGGCAUCACACCAGGAUGCUGAAUAGGCCAAGGGAUGCCUUAAACAUACCACUCAAACAGGCAGAAAGCGGAUUCAGGAAGGCUCAACACGAGCUGAAAGCUCACUGUUUAGGAAGCAUCUCUGCUGGGGUGAGGGUUGGCUCUUAUGGGUUUGUGUUGUGGACUCAGCACUUGGGCAGCUUUGUUUUGGUGCAUGGAAUGCUCAGAGGCGUUCUCUGAGCGUGUGUUUGGGUAAUAGCCAAAAAUGAACCCAGUUAGCUAAUGGAAAUGCAUCCUUCCUCCUGUGCUGGGACUGCGUUGCACUGAGUGCGUUGGAAACAGCACCAGAAGUGAUGUCUGACUGCUGCAGAUCCCAAACCCUCAGUCAGGCACUGCUCUGUGGAUGAGCAAGAUGGGCACAGCUGGAUCUGCUCCUCAAGGAUCCGCUGCAGGUGUGUGACUGGGGAAUUUUU